CCACAGGGCUUGCGUUUAGGGGGCACUGCAGCCCGGGGCGCAGCUCCAUCGCAGCCCACAAAUUGCGAGCGAGUGGCCUGUUUAAUCCAGGUUGGUAUCUGGAGGCUCCGUGAACGCAGUGAUUUUUACCUUUGGCUCAGUGUGGGCGCAGAGAGAACCUGGGCUCUGAACAGGCUAGUCCCUCACCAGACACAGGAUGCCUCUUCCUGACCUGCAGGGAGAAGAGAGCUGGCCGUGACAGAUUGUAGAUACAAAGCUGAACGAGGCCCGUGUGACUGACCUGGAAGCUCCCAGGAGCCUGCUCUGGGGUAAUGGCAUGUCAGGGAAUUUUAAGGGAAGGCCAGGGGAUACUUGGAACUGCGGAGCUUAUGCCAACUGUUUGUCUCCUUGUUGACCACCCUGGCCAUGUGUUACAUAAACUGAC
ensembl:lncRNA